AGCAGAACCUUUAAUUAAGGUGCCAAUGAAGCUUCAUUUUAUUAUGUAAGCUUUUGAGGAUAAUCGGGAAGUUGGUGAGUUCAUAUCCAACACUGCCCCCGCAACGGUGAGCGUGAUAAAUAAAUAUUUAUCCGACAGUCCGGAGACCGGCCUUAAUUGUCAUUCAGUUA
rnacentral:ncRNA from 14 species